AACGCCUAUUCUUACCAGCUUAUAUGAAAUAACUGCAGAUUUCGAAUUAAAUGGUUUUGGCACAUAUAGCUGUCGAAUUACAAUAAUAGCAGCCAUUAGCCACCAGAUCUCUGUAUGAUAUCGUUAAUCCGUUCAAAGUUCUGUAUGGGCGCAGACCCGAUACACGAGAAUUGGUAUAACAGUUUAAAAAAAACAUCGUGCAUUCCGUUUCAACCGUUAAAAUUUGAAACGUUAACAGCUGACGGUAAAUCCGAUGUUUGUAAUUUUCAAUAUGUACAGAAUGAAAAAAAAAAA